rnacentral:rRNA from 1 species
UACGUAGGUGGCAAGCGUUGUCCGGAAUUAUUGGGCGUAAAGCGCGCGCAGGCGGUCCUUUAAGUCUGAUGUGAAAGCCCACGGCUCAACCGUGGAGGGUCAUUGGAAACUGGGGGACUUGAGUACAGAAGAGAAGAGUGGAAUUCCACGUGUAGCGGUGAAAUGCGUAGAGAUGUGGAGGAACACCAGUAGCGAAGGCGGCACUCUGGGCCGGUACUGACGCUGAGGAGCGAAAGCGUGGGGAGCGAACAGG